rnacentral:rRNA from 1 species
UACAGAGGUCCCAAGCGUUGUUCGGAUUCAUUGGGCGUAAAGGGUGCGUAGGCGGCGCGGUAAGUCGGGUGUGAAAUCUCGGGGCUUAACUCCGAAACUGCAUUCGAUACUGCCGUGCUUGAGGACUGGAGAGGAGACUGGAAUUUACGGUGUAGCGGUGAAAUGCGUAGAUAUCGUGAGGAAGACCGGUGGCGAAGGCGGAUCUCUGGACAGUUCCUGACGCUGAGGCGCGAAGGCCAGGGGAGCAAACGGG